rnacentral:misc_RNA from 1 species
AUAAAAUCAGAUUUGGACAAGUACCUGGAAGAGCCUCUCUUUCCUCGCAGUGUUGAUUUCAACAUAUUAAAUUGGUGGAAAGUUCACACUCCAAACAGGUUCCCUAUCCUAGCCAUGAUGGCACGGAAUAUUUUGGGAAUUCCCAUGUCAAAAGUUACACCAGAGUUUGCUUUUGACAAUGGAGGGAGGGUGCUUGAUCGUGAAUGGAGUUCCCUGCGACCAACUACUGUUCAAGCUUUGAUGUGUUCACAAGAUUGGAUUGGUGAAGUAGAAAAAUGAUACAUUAUCAAUAUUAUUCUUAAGUUUAUUUAGAUAUUCUUUGUCUAUAUACUUACUUUCCCAGUCGGAUUAACCAUUCUCCCCCAAGCUUUUUUUGCAGAUUAGCAAGUCAGCUUUGCUAAACCCUCUUUUAAUCCCUCUAUCCUUGAUAUUUUCAAUUGAUAUAUGUUAAUACCGGCAUUAUUCUCCAUAUGUCACGAGGAUUGGUGGAUAAUUGUGAUUUGAUUAUUCUUAGAUAUUUUGCAAAUAUCAAGGAUAGAGGGAUUAAAAGAG